CGUGAUGACUGCUGAACUGCAGCAUUACACUGCUUUCUGCUAAAAGUAGACCAACUGAUAUUUACCUUUACGUGACCUUACCUGAUGAGCUUUAAACACCACAGCUUUAAACCACAGAACUCUGAAAAACAAAAACAGGAUAUCUGCUGUUAAAACUGGUGUUGUGUAUAUCUUUCCUGAGACUGUGCUAUCUGGGAUCAGGUUGGUGUAAUCUUUCAAUGCAGUGUAUUGGCCAAACUCUCUUUCCUGCUGGAAGGUUAACUCCAGUGUGCAUCACAGAAAAUAUUUUCAUGGUCAAGGGUUGUUGUCAUCACAAUCUGCAUAACAUGAACACCAGCUGGAGGCAAAAAAAAAAAUUCAAGGCUGAUAAAGUUAUGUUCACUGGUCUCCUUCACUUUUGCAAAGUUCCAGUACAGCAAAGGAGAGUCCAAAAAGAGACAAAUAUCAUUUGCAAAACUUCAUCUUCGUAACAACAAUAGCAAAAAACGGAAUCACAUAUAGUAGAUGCUCUAUCAGACUCAACAGAAGGUACCCACUGCUCCUUA